AGGAUGAACGCUGGCGGUGUGCCUAAUACAUGCAAGUCGAACGGGAUCUUCGGAUCUAGUGGCGGACGGGUGAGUAACACGUUGGUACCUACCCCUAAGUGGGGAAUAACUGCCCGAAAGGGUGGCUAAUACCGCAUAAUCCCGCAAGGGUAAAGCGGUAAUGCGCUUAGGGAGGGGCCUGCGUCUGAUUAGCUAGUUGGUAGGGUAAUGGCCUACCAAGGCGACGAUCAGUAGCUGGAUCGAGAGGUUGACCAGCCACACUGGGACUGAGAUACGGCCCAGACUCCUACGGGAGGCAGCAGUGGGGAAUAUUGGACAAUGGGGGCAACCCUGAUCCAGCAAUGCCGCGUGUGUGAAGAAGGUCUUCGGAUUGUAAAGCACUUUCGACGGGGACGAUGAUGACGGUACCCGUAUAAGAAGCCCCGGCUAACUUCGUGCCAGCAGCCGC
rnacentral:rRNA from 1 species